UGCUGGAACCCGGAAGGAGACUCGGACAGGAGGUAAGUCUGAAGUAGAUUUUAAUUUGGCUGAAGAUGAGUGUUGGCGUCUUCCCAGAAGGUGGAGCGUCAGCUGGCUGGAGGCGUCUUGACGAGGAGAUCCAGGAGCGAAGCACGAGUGACCAGAGGACUGCGACCAGGAGCAAGGAUAGGUCAGACUAAGCACCAUGGGAGGAACAACGAACUGGCGUCGGCUGAAGAUCCACAGACUCCUUAAGAAGGCUGCAGCAGUGAUGAG